rnacentral:rRNA from 1 species
UACGGAGGGUGCGAGCGUUGUUCGGAAUCACUGGGCGUAAAGGGCGUGUAGGCGGUCCGCUAAGUCUGAUGUGAAAGCCCGGGGCUCACCCCCGGAAGGGCAGUGGAAACUGGCGGACUCGAGUCCCGGAGAGGAAGGUGGAAUUCCUGGUGUAGCGGUGAAAUGCGUAGAUAUCAGGAGGAAUACCGGUGGCGAAGGCGGCCUGCUGGACGGUGACUGACGCUGAGACGCGAAAGCGUGGGGAGCAAACAGG